rnacentral:rRNA from 1 species
GACGAACGCUGGCGGCGUGCUUAACACAUGCAAGUCGAACGGAAAGGCCCUGCUUUUGUGGGGUGCUCGAGUGGCGAACGGGUGAGUAACACGUGAGUAACCUGCCCUUGACUUUGGGAUAACUUCAGGAAACUGGGGCUAAUACCGGAUAGGAGCUCCUGCUGCAUGGUGGGGGUUGGAAAGUUUCGGCGGUUGGGGAUGGACUCGCGGCUUAUCAGCUUGUUGGUGGGGUAGUGGCUUACCAAGGCUUUGACGGGUAGCCGGCCUGAGAGGGUGACCGGCCACAUUGGGACUGAGAUACGGCCCAGACUCCUACGGGAGGCAGCAGUGGGGAAUAUUGCACAAUGGGCGGAAGCCUGAUGCAGCAACGCCGCGUGCGGGAUGACGGCCUUCGGGUUGUAAACCGCUUUCGCCUGUGACGAAGCGUGAGUGACGGUAAUGGGUAAAGAAGCACCGGCUAACUACGUGCCAGCAGCCGCGGUGAUACGUAGGGUGCGAGCGUUGUCCGGAUUUAUUGGGCGUAAAGGGCUCGUAGGUGGUUGAUCGCGUCGGAAGUGUAAUCUUGGGGCUUAACCCUGAGCGUGCUUUCGAUACGGGUUGACUUGAGGAAGGUAGGGGAGAAUGGAAUUCCUGGUGGAGCGGUGGAAUGCGCAGAUAUCAGGAGGAACACCAGUGGCGAAGGCGGUUCUCUGGGCCUUUCCUGACGCUGAGGAGCGAAAGCGUGGGGAGCGAACAGGCUUAGAUACCCUGGUAGUCCACGCUGUAAACGGUGGGUACUAGGUGUGGGGUCCAUUCCACGGGUUCCGUGCCGUAGCUAACGCUUUAAGUACCCCGCCUGGGGAGUACGGCCGCAAGGCUAAAACUCAAAGGAAUUGACGGGGCCCCGCACAAGCGGCGGAGCAUGCGGAUUAAUUCGAUGCAACGCGUAGAACCUUACCUGGGUUUGACAUGGAUCGGGAGUGCUCAGAGAUGGGUGUGCCUCUUUUGGGGUCGGUUCACAGGUGGUGCAUGGCUGUCGUCAGCUCGUGUCGUGAGAUGUUGGGUUAAGUCCCGCAACGAGCGCAACCCUUGUUCACUGUUGCCAGCACGUUAUGGUGGGGACUCAGUGGAGACCGCCGGGGUCAACUCGGAGGAAGGUGGGGAUGACGUCAAGUCGUCAUGCCCCUUAUGUCCAGGGCUUCACGCAUGCUACAAUGGCUGGUACAGAGAGUGGCGAGCCUGUGAGGGUGAGCGAAUCUCGGAAAGCCGGUCUCAGUUCGGAUUGGGGUCUGCAACUCGACCUCAUGAAGUCGGAGUCGCUAGUAAUCGCAGAUCAGCAACGCUGCGGUGAAUACGUUCCCGGG